AAUUUGUGACAAUCAUGCAACGGACCAGGAAUUUACGGACUGAACUCUUGUCGCUGACAUGUUCAGUCGAUAAAUCCCCGGGUGCAUACCAACAUAAACGAUGGAUUCAGACAGGUCUGAUGCUGAGAAUAUACCGAGGUCCUUGCCGUGCAUAUUCGCGACCUGGUAUGAGCUCGUUCCUCUUUUGGCUGUGAUGACGACCGGGGUAUAUUGCGGCCCCAGCUUGGCGUUGAAGGACGAACCUGCAGCCGACUGCCUAAAGGACCUUUUGAAGACCCGUUGCCCUAUGUCGAAGGUCGGAGCAUAUCUUUUGUGACCAGCAUGCGCAAAGACCUUUCUUGCUGUUUUCUCUGAGGCGAUAGCGACACGUUCCGAAUACGCAACUCGUAUUCUAGCUCAUCUACGGUUAGAUGUGCUACAUUCAUACCAUAGUACUGUAAGGUUAGGUGUGACAUUUCCAUCUUGUGUGAUGCAACAAUAAGUUAAACUGAAUUAAAAUCUAAGCAUACACUAUGAUUGAUCAGGAAGCAAUUAAUUAACAGGAAACCUAUAUACUAUAAUUAACAAACGCAACACUGAAUUUACACUACUGAUACACAAAAUAAAAAAUAGAUAAAACCGACACGAAUGAAAACACAACUAUAUAAUUAAACAGUUUAAAAUCUAUUAGCUAAUCAUAAGUAUCACAGUGUAAAAUAAAGGUUUUGUAUUUGUUUGUUUUUUGA